GAAAGAACUUAAAAGAAUAAGCAAGGAAACAGGAAGCUGAGUGUGUCAAAACUUCUAGCUGUUAAUGGAGCACAUAACACUUCCUUUAAAAGUCUAAAAACAUUGAAGGAAAAGUAACUCCAGUGGUUCGCUACGUCUUCCCCAUUCCCCGUUCCAUAUUGAUGACACAAUGACAAGGAUAGCAGGGCUUUUCCAAGGUACCCCUUGCAAGAACUUCAGUCAGAUGGUCAGAGAAGUUAUCUCCAUAGAAAUCCCAAGUUGUCAGAGAAGUCGUUUCUAUAGACAUCAGAAAGGGGAAUAGAAUUUCCUGACAAUGAGGGGAAAUCCAAAGUGAAGCAAGUGGCUGCUCGCAAGCUGGGUCACCCUGUGGGUUCCCUGCAGAACUUGAAUCUUAUUUCAGGGUAUUCAUUCAUUCGUUUACUUGCUGCCUCACUAACUGACAUGUACUGAGUGCUUUCUACGUGUCAAGCACAGGACUAUGAUCGGUUCCUAGACUGACAGAGAACUGGGUGAAUCCAAUCAAUAGCACAUCUUGAGUUUGAGCAUUUCUGGACUGGAUAGAGAAAUACGCUGAAUAUCAUCAGGAUUACUGCAGCUAAACAGGUGUGAUCCUCGGUCACUGAAAGUAAAAAGGAAGAGCAUGCAAACACUGUGCUGGAGGGUUCUUACCCAGGCUUCCAUGUAAUGAAUGACAUACACUCCUGAUACCAACAAGCACUUUUCACUCUGCAUUAUGUAACUUGGCAUGGCAAAAUAAAGUGAAAAAUGAACAAUAGCCAACCUGUGCUUUCCUCAUGUAUACCAAAGGUUCUUUGAGAUGUUCAGGAGGUGCAGCAGGAUGGCUAGGUAAAGGAAACCUAGGGACAAAAAGAGGCAGCUAAAUAUUAUACGUUAUCUGGAUAAGUAAUUAAUUCUUUUCAUUAGAAAUUACUCACCUCU